rfam:Oryza barthii chromosome 10, whole genome shotgun sequence.
UUUAAGUGCAACCAUAAGUUUCCGCGUCCCACUUUAAUCGUUCGUGUUAUUUGAAAAUUUUGUAUAAUUAGUAUUUUUGUUGUUAUGAGAUAAUAAAACAUGAAUAGUACUUUACUCGUGACUUAUGUUUUUAAUUUUUUUAAAUUUUUUUUAAAUAAGAUGGACAGUUAAAAUUGCGUACGGAAAAUUAUGGUUGUACUUACA